GCCCUCGUUGAUCAAUGGAGAUCACCCACGUUGACUGUUGCACCAUUCACAACGGAAUCAGUGGGCAGUGGGGGUUCGAAUCCCCCCGGAGGCA